rnacentral:lncRNA from 1 species
AGCCCCGCCGAGCUGAGCGGGGCGGCCCCGGGUCGGGGUUGUGUGGUGCUGCGAGGCUCCGUCAGGUGCCUGCCCGUGGGCCUGUCGGGCUUCCAUCCCUCCCGCAGCACGGCUUGUGCUGCACCGUGGGCGUUCUGUCAGGAUUUGGUGCUUCUAGGUGAAGUUUCACAGAUGUCCAUCGAAUGGAAUCGGUGCAGAAAUACUGGCCUGGGUGUACGGGGAGACCAGCAGAUGUGAGGAUGGAUCCAUUGGCUUCACUGGGGUGGGAAAGAUGCUCAAGAAAAACGCUUGGGAACAUCACCAGCAUGAAGGAAAAGAGAGCAGAUCUGCUCCAUCUGUGUAGGAAAUUUGCUGAACUGGUCUGAGAAUCCCUCAAAAAGAGUACAGGACUGUGGGUAAGGUUUGUCUUCAAUGCAGCUCCACAGAAGCCUGAAUGUAUAUAAGGAAAGAAGCUGAAUGUUAUAGUCUGAUAGGAAAGAGGCCUGGAUAUGAUUGUGAGUUUAAACGAGCAGCAAAACUGAGCUCUCUCUGUGCUUUUCACAUCUGGUGAGGCGACACAAAAUAGUUCCUGCCUUUUGAGACUGAAAGAAGCAGAUGAGCCAUUUGGUCAAACACGGGUAAAUGCAGUAUCCAUGUUUCUAUGCUAUAGGCCUGCCCUGCCAGUGGAGAAAUACUGGGAAUGGAUUUCUGAAGCCAUAGAACAAUGAGUGGUUACAAACAUCCCGCUGAUAAUUUUGCUUUGAAUUACUGUGUGCUACUUCUUUCAUGUGUGUGAAUGUAGUCCUCCUGCAGGUAAAACAGACGUGGAAAACAGAGUAGCUCCACUAAGUGCUAUCAGCCUUGGAGGGCAGGGCUGGCAAAACUUUGCACUGUUAUUCAUUAUUUCGAUGGAUAGUCUCCAAAAGCAGGAGGGAGAAAAAGUACUUUAUAGCUCCAUAUGCUUUUUUCUUCAAGGAGUUUGGUAGGUUUAGAGACACUGAAGUGAGAACGAGCUUAUAUCCUAGUGAAAUGGGUGAGUAAUAACACUGCGGGCUUCAGAGGAAAUGGUAGGCAACAGAUUUUUUUGGUACCUCUCAUAGGCACAGGGAAGUUGAGAUCACUGCUUUUGAAAAUCCAAGUAUACGCAGCUUCACCAAGGACUGCACAGCAACUCUUUAUCACAGUUAAAAUUAAAACGUGCAUCUGCACAGUCCGGGCAUGUUCUGUAAGCUAGAGAUGUCUGAUUAUCUGCAGGCCUGAUCUGGUCCCUGGAACAAGUUCAUAUAGCCCAGCAAAAACUUGUCUGAAUAUACAAUGCAAUCCAGCUCCUAAAUAAGAAGCAUUCAUAUGGUCUGUCCCCUUACCUACCAAGAAAUGUCACAACCCCACUUAAUCGUACGGAAGCGUAAUGCAGUUGUCGGGUCAUCUCUUUAUUGAAGAGUACUUUCUGGGUCAUUUCCCUGUCUUGACCUUUUAAUUCUUAUAACCAUUUGAUUUUCUGCCACUGUCAGUGAGAGAACCUUUGUGUAACCACCCCUGGCCAUGGGGUACCUCAGUUUCUAUGACUUAAGGCACUCUAAGGGAAGCCUCUAGGCUACAUCAGAACAUACAACAGUAGAACACUAGACUCUGAGUUACUUACAUACUCACUAACGUGACCCUUUGUAGACUUCUGCAUGUUACAUACUAAGAACGCUUAAACCCCUUAGAUUUUAGAAAUGAGAACAGAACACAACAAACAAAGCAUACGCAACAUAAACCAAUUAACACCAAGCCACACAGAGCUGUGGCCACUGCUACAACCCAACAUCUGUCCUUUAUCUGUCUGGUUAAUCCAGGGAGCAGUCCUGCAUCUUUAGGAGCUCACCAUCUUGCCACUGCAAAAGGUCAAACUGCUCAAUGCCGUGUGGUUACGAGAGCAAGAAGGAUCAAUCCUGCAAAUUCAUUUGAAAGAAUCAAGGCGUUUUCUGUUCCGUGUAUGCAUCCCAUGUGAUGGUACUGGAGCUUUAAGCUUAACGGGAGAGCGUUUCCUCUGUGUGCAGGCAGCUGGGGCAGGAUAAAUGGGCAGGCACUGCCACGGCAGUCAUUGAUUGAUAUGGAUGGUCAUCUCCAGAUUGAUUAUUGUAGAAUCAGGACAGAAUGAAAGGGCCCAGAGGAAAAAUCAGCACCUGUGGUUGCAUUGAA